rnacentral:lncRNA from 1 species
CCUGUCUAACUUUCGCGGCUUACGAUAUUCCUGCGCGGAGCAUAGACAUUCUGAACUGGCAACGGCUCGGACAUUCUGCGCUGAAAACUACUGAGAUAACUGAGAUAGCUGCGCUGAGAUAGCCGCCCUGAGGUAGCUGAGAUAACUGCGCAGAGGUAGCUGAGAUAAAUGUCCUGACUGCGCUGAGAUAACUGCGCUGAGGUAGCUGCCCUGAGGUAGCUGAGAUAACUAGAUAGCUGCUCUGAGAUAGCUGAGAUAGCUGCCCUGAGAUGGCUGCGCUGAAGUAGCUGAGAUAAAUGUCCUGACUGCGCUGAGAUAACUGCGCUGAGGUAGCUGCCCUGAGGUAGCUGAGAUAACUAGAUAGCUGCCCUGAGAUGGCUGCGCUGAAGUAGCUGAGAUAAAUGUCCUUACUGCGCUGAGAAGACCCAGAUUCCACUUACGGCUUUCCCCUCCGUAGCGUGGCUGAAUUGCCACUAAAGCUCAUUUUCU